rnacentral:rRNA from 1 species
UACGAGAGGCCCAAACGUUAUUCGGAAUUACUGGGCUUAAAGAGUUCGUAGGCGGCGCAGAAAGUAGGGUGUGAAAGCCCUCGCUUAACCGAGGAAUUGCGCCCUAAACUACUGUGCUUGAGGACCUAGAGGUGAGCAGAACAGAUGGUGGAGCGGUGAAAUGCGUUGAUAUCAUCUGGAAUACCGGAGGCGAAGGCGGCUCACUGGGGGUUUCUGACGCUGAGGAACGGAAAGCCAGGGUAGCGAACGGG